CUAUUUUGUAUUUUAGCCGGAAAAAACGUACGGUGACCCUAUCUUUUCUUUUGAUAUUCUCAAAGCAUUGUCUAAAAGCUAUCUUUUCCUUCAGUAUUUAACAAUUCUAUCAUUUUGUUUAGUUUCUAAUCACAAAAUGGUGUUUUUUCCUGUAUAAUCCAUACAAAAUGUGUCAUUUUGUCACGUCCUGUAGCUUGAGAAAAUGCGCGGUGACCUAUCAUUUUUAUUAUAUUUUACGACAUAUAUCAAUAGAUACUACGUUUUGGCAAAGUAUAAACAAAUUCUAUCAUUUUUGUUUUAGACUCCCAUACCACCUUAA
rnacentral:lncRNA from 1 species